rnacentral:rRNA from 1 species
AUGACCAAACCCAAGAGGGCAGGAGGUAUUGGCUUCCGGGAUAUGCAGAUCUUCAACCAAGCCCUCCUCGCUAGGCAAAGUUGGCGCCUAAUUCAGAAUCCAAAUAGCCUAUGUGCAAGGGUCCUCAAGUCAAAAUACUAUCCCAAGGGAGAUCUCCUCGAUACCGUUUUUGCUGCGGAUGCUUCCCAAGCUUGGAGGGGCAUCGAACAUGGCCUUGAGAUUUUGAAAAAUGGUCUGAUAUGGAGAGUUAGGAAUGGGAAGAAAAUUCAGAUUCAAAGAGACCAAUGGGUUCCAAGAAAAUGUGGACUAAAAGUAACAGAGUUUAAGAGAAGGUCGAGGUUAAGAUGGGUGAACCAGCUAAUGAAACCGGACAGCAAAGAAUGGUACGUGGCACUGAUCCAUCAACUCUUUCAGCCCUAUGAUGCGAAGAGAUUUGCAAGAUUAAAAUCCCCGGAUACAGAGCCGAGGACUGCGUCGCUUGGCAUGAUGAGAAAUCUGGUGUGUUUACUGUCCGAAGUGCAUACAAGCUGGGAGCAAAGAUCAAACAGCAAAGUAAUGCCUUGGCGUCGAGCUCCACAAAUGACGCGGAAAAUAGAAGCAGCUGGGAUCUCAUCUGGAAAGCGAAGGUACCAGAAAAGGUGA